UCGUCUCUCUUCCCAGCUGUUAUAAGAUGUAACAGGCCAGAAAUUAUGCAUCGAUUCAGUUCAGGAGCAUGCACCAGAGUCUUCCCAUGAAAAUGAUAGUGCUGAGUGAGGCUCCUUAAGUGGUUAGCUGGUUAGGACUGUAACUGGAAUACUCUACCCCCCCACCCCCAGAAGGCUAGGAAGUGCCAUCCUCAGUGUGACCUGAACACCAUGAUGGUUCUGUGCUGCUCGAGUUUGACCUGAACACCAUGAUGGUUCUGUGGUGCUCGAGUUUGUACGUUUUUAGGUUAAUGCCAGCUGCUUGAAUUUAGUUGUGAAACGCUGAAUUAUUCAUUUCCAUAAACAAAACUUCCUUAGUAGGUAUUUAGCAUUAAUUUAUUUCUCUUCAUUUCAAUCGACCCUGUUGACAUUCUGGUUUAAAAUUAAAAAAUAUUCUUUGUGGAGUCUAACAAACCAGACUUUGUGAUAGCUACUUUUUCUACCUCUAUUCUGUGGCAAAACAGUUAAAUAUUUGAAGAGAUGAAGUAUAUCUUAUGGUUCAUCUUUUAGUAUUUAAGUAAAGUUCUUAAUAAAACAGAAUGAAAGCAAAAUAUUUCUCUGUAGUGUCUUUAAGUCUUCAAGACUCUCCUUGGCAUUGACUCUUGACUAGGUAGAUCAUAACAUCAUGCUGUAUGCUUGCACGUGUGGACCACAUAAUUAGUCCAUAGUCUAACACUGGAAGUGUCUCAAUAGAAUUUUAACUAAUUAUUUCACCAUUUUUAUUCAUACUGUUUGAUAGACUAUUCAGUAGAAUACAAAUGUAAAGUUUAUUUAUUUAUUUAUUUAUUUUUUUGGUUCUUUAAACUCCUCCAUCUACAAAUAUAAGUUUGUGAAGUUAGAAACAAAAAUAUAUGUUUUUACAUUAUAUAUAAGAUUUUAUAUAUAACAUGUAUACCAUUGUUACAUUGUAACAUGACGUUAUAUAUCUGUGUUGUAUGUACAGCAGAAUUUUGAUUUAUAUUACUUGAAACUGUAUUAUUUUCCACCCUAGAAAAUACAAUUUAAGUACAAUUUUCAUUCUAAAAAUUUUAAGAUUUUCUAAUUUUCUUCUAAAGUUUUGAUUUUGCUAACAAGCAAAAUUGUCACUUCUGGUCAAUUAACACAGCAAAUAAUUAGGCUUCGUAGUUUGUCUUCAUGGUAAAUUUAAAGGAAAUGAAGGGCCAAGUCAAUUCUACCGUCUUUUUAUAGUAACAGUUACAGAUGCGGAAGGAUUUUCUAUGGGGGUUUAGUGACUUCUCUACUCAACAAGGUUGGGGCACUAUGUUUUCUUCUGUCUGGAAAGGUCCCUUAGAAAUAAUUGGCUUGUUUUCAGGUAUGUGCCUGACUUCCAGAGAGGAUAGUCAGAGAAAGAAUAUGACCAGAGAAGAGCCACUCUUUCUUAGCCCAUUAUAAAUAUGCCUGACGUGUCUUUUUUUCUGAGCGUAAUUAAUCUCUAAUAAAACUAUAUUCUUAACUACUUGAGCUGAUAAACAGCAAGGUUUGUUUUAAAGAAGUCAAGUUUAUUUUAUGUCAAUUUUCUAUUUGUCCUGUGUAAGAUAUAUUUAAUUACUUUACCCUGUCUCUGUGUUCAGAUUAAUCAGAGCCUGCUGCAUAGUGGUGCUCAAAUUAGAAUAAUACUUUAAUCAACUGUGUUACCCACGCCAUGGUAGACUAGGAAAGCCACCCUUGGCAUAUUGAAGAUGCAUGCAUUUUAUUUCGUAUUGUAAUUUAAAAGUAAGAUCAGAAAUAUUGAUUUCUACUUGACUGGAGAGAUGAUUUAGUUUGAAUAUCAGUCUGAUGUUAAUCAGGUGAGAAUUAAUUGAGUUGGAGGUAUUAGAUAUUCAGUGCUGUUAACUGAGCCGUGAUCAAUCUAGAGCGAAGCUUUCUGUCGGGCAGUGCUGGGAUUGUCAAACAGCUCAUGCUCUACAGUACAGAAUGAUCUUUUGUUCAUCCUUCUAGCUUCUUGUCUCAUUAAAUGCACCACUAAAUUCAUUCUAUACACAGACUAAUCUUUAAAGUGUAGAAUGAUAAUAAAUCAUAAUUUAAUAGAAAAUUAAAAGCAUAAUAAUUUUGUCAAAAAUGCUUUUGUUGUCAUGGUUUUUGUAAUACAUUGUCUAGACUAGAGCUAAAUUUUAAAGCCGAGUGAUUAAAUACCUACGUCUGCAGUAACUUGUAACAUAAGAUGAGAAAACCUACAUCGUUUCAUUUAACUGUGCAACAUUGAAAGAAGUGAGCAGUACAGAAUCAUUUUAAUGUUUAUUUCCUGAAAUAAAAAUAGAGUCAGUAGCAUUUUGUUGGUCUGAAAUGUGGCAUGGGCUUUUCAUUUAUUUUAAGGGUGUGAUAGCAAUAUCAUAAGUGUUGUGAAAAUAUAAAUGGUGAGAUGACACCUCCGUAGGACCUGAUCUUAAGUAGUAACAUCGGAGCCUUUAAAUAAACUGCAGCCGGAACGGAGAGGAUCGAUUUGCCUUGUUAACCAGGGACAGUGCACUUAUUACUGGCUAAUUAAUUUUAUGCCACCGUGUCUUUUAGCCCCUUCCCCUCUUUUUUUUUUUUUUUUUUUUCCUUUCAAAACUGAGAAUUUAGAUCUGUUUACCAGGAGGGUAGCACACGCUGUCGUCAGAGUUUUCAUUCUGGCCGUUGGUGUGACCGUGUGAGGUUAGAGGGAAGCUACAGUGCGACUUUUGAGUCUUUUCCCCCCCGAAAUGAUACUUUUCGCUUGACGUGACUAUGUAGACAUACAUUUCACGACAAGGACAUUUUCUAAGUUUGUAGCUGAGAACAAUUAGUAUUUAAGGGAAUGGAGCUAUACAUUGGAGACAGCCUUGGAAGGAAGGUGAUGAAUGGGGGUUCUUAGUGAGUCUCGGGUUCCCCCAAUUGUUGCUAAACAGAGGAGAGCCGUGGAGAGGAAGCACAUGGGGAGAUGGCUGGCUUCCUCAUGCCAGCCCCUCAGCCCAGCUGCCACUUCCUUCUCUCCUAGCCUCUAGUUCCAUUCCUCCCUUUUCUUUUUCUAAGUUAACUCGUUGUUCCAUGCUUACAGAGUACCAACCCCCAGACCAGCCGUUCUUCCGGUCCUGUUCCCUAGCCUGUCAGCUUCCCUCUGUCCCUGCCUGCUCUCCCACAGCUGCUUUGUGCGGUGUCCUGAGCAGUAACAGGCUGCAGCCUGCCCUAGUGCAGUUUACCGACAUCCUUAGGUCCCGGGGCUGCCGGUGCUUUGAGCCACCCCUGCUCGAGUCUCAGUUCCGGGGUGGAGUAAAGGCAGGAGGUAAUUUGAGCCCAGCAAGCUGAGGAUGGUUAACACCCCUCAAAAAUGAAAAGAAGAGAACCGUGAAGACCAACGCCUCUCAGUGUGCUGUUUGUCAUGGUGUGCUAUUUUGUGGUGUAGUAUUUGUGUUUUGGCAGGUGAUAUAAGAGUUAGACCUGAUGUUGAUAAAGGAUACAUCUUUUGUUUCAAGAAGAUAGGAAAUGACUAUCAACAUGUUAUCCCUUUAAUGGAUGUCUAUAAUAAUAUUCCUUUUAUGGUUAUCCACAGAAUAACGUACUUUAAGAAAGAUGCAUGUGGACAGGCAAACUUUAUAUGCCCCAGUACAGGGGAACGCCAGGGCCAAAAAAAUGGGAAUGGGUGGAUAGGGGAGUGGGGGGGGGAGGGUGUGGGAGACUUUUGGGCUAGCAUUGGAAAUGUAAUUGAGGAAAAUACGUAAUAAAAAAAAUAAG
rnacentral:lncRNA from 1 species